rnacentral:rRNA from 1 species
GGACUACCCGGGUAUCUAAUCCCGUUUGCUCCCCUAGCUUUCGCGCCUCAGCGUCAGAAGAGGUCCAGUCCGUCGCUUUCGCCACCGGCGUUCCUUCCGAUAUCAACGCAUUUCACCGCUCCACCGGAAGUUCCACAGACCCCUACCUCCCUCUAGGCCACCAGUAUCGAAAGCUGUUCUCCGGUUAAGCCGAAGUAUUUCACCCCCGACUUGAUGGCCCGCCUACGCGCCCUUUAAGCCCAGUGAUUCCGAACAACGUUAGGACGGUUCGUCUUACCGCGGCUGCUGGCAC